GAAAACAUCCCUCCUCUCUGCUCUCUGUUUUUCGUUAUAACAGAGAAUCGGUUCCGCUUCUUCUUCAUUCCCUGGUCUCAACAACUCAGGGAGUGAUCAGGAGACGGUGAAGAGGAUGAAGGGGUUGGGAUUUCUUCUUACUGUUGCGCUUACGCUUCUGGGUUUCUGCCACGUAUUUGUGGCGGCAGUGGAGAGGAACGAUGAAGAGAGGAGGACCUACAUCGUUCACAUGGCCACAUCCCAAAUGCCGGAGAGUUUCCAGGAGCGUGCACACUGGUACGACUCGUCAUUGAAAUCGGUAUC
rnacentral:lncRNA from 1 species